rnacentral:hammerhead_ribozyme from 1 species
AUCCAGCUGAUGAGUCCCAAAUAGGACAAACGCGCGUCAAGCUGGAU